AGUGAACGCUGGCGGUAGGCCUAACACAUGCAAGUCGAACGGCAGCACAGUAAGAGCUUGCUCUUACGGGUGGCGAGUGGCGGACGGGUGAGGAAUACAUCGGAAUCUACUUUUUCGUGGGGGAUAACAUAGGGAAACUUACGCUAAUACCGCAUACGACCUACGGGUGAAAGCAGGGGAUCUUCGGACCUUGCGCGAUUGAAUGAGCCGAUGUCGGAUUAGCUAGUUGGCGGGGUAAAGGCCCACCAAGGCGACGAUCCGUAGCUGGUCUGAGAGGAUGAUCAGCCACACUGGAACUGAGACACGGUCCAGACUCCUACGGGAGGCAGCAGUGGGGAAUAUUGGACAAUGGGCGCAAGCCUGAUCCAGCCAUACCGCGUGGGCGAAGAAGGCCUUCGGGUUGUAAAGCCCUUUUGUUGGGAAAGAAAAGCAGCAGGUUAAUACCCCGCUGUUCUGACGGUACCCAAAGAAUAAGCACCGGCUAACUUCGUG
rnacentral:rRNA from 1 species